AUGGGCUGUGUCAUCUCCAGCUCCUCCGCCCUUACUCCCUCCGCCGCCACCGCCGCCGUCAAGCCUGAGACCGUCUCACCCAGGUCAGGCUCGCAUGUUCUACUUCUGUACAUUAACAUGUACCCGACAUACCAAGGGCUCGGCAACGGCAGGUGCGUCAAAUCGGAGACCUUCCUCGCCGGAGGCCGUCGCUGGUACGUUGAGUUCUACCCCGACGGCCAUGGCCCGCAGGACACCGGCUGGAUAUCCGUCUUCCUCUUCCUCGUCCCGGCAGGCGCCUUCGAGGUCGUCACGACGCAGCUCAAGAUCAGCCUGCUCGACGCCCACGGGAAGCCGGUGCCGUCCUACGGCAGCGGAGGUGCGUGGAGGUGCUGCACCUUCUCCACCAAUGAAGGGUCGUGGGGUUACUCUCGGUUCAUCACCAGGGCUGAUCUCGGGAGAUUAGGUCACGUGUCGUGGGAGAACGGUGGUUUCAGUGUCCAAUUCGACAUCAUUGUGUCCAAGGAGAUUUCCACUGAGUACGUUCCUGGACGGAACCAUGAUCGCAUGCUGGUGCCGCCGCCGGAUAUCCUCCAUGAUCUCGGCCAGCUCCUCUCCUCAGGAGAAGGGGCGGACGUCACGUUCGAGGUCGGCGGUGAGAUGUUCGCCGCACACAGGUGUGUCCUUGGCGCUCGUUCCUCUGUCUUCAGGGCGCAGCUUCUGGGUCCAAUGAAGGAGAGCACAUCAAUGUGCGUGCAGAUAGAGGACAUGGAGCCAAAAGUAUUCCAGGCAUUGCUUCAUUUUAUCUACACCGAUUCGGUGCCUGAGAUCGACGAUGCUGACGCAGUGGGGAUGAUCCAGCAUUUGCUUGUCGCCGCGGACAGGUACAGCCUCAAGAGACUGAAGUUGACCUGCGAAGACAAACUAUGCAGUUACAUCAACACUAGCACAGUGGCCACUACAGUGGCACUCGCCGAGCAACAUGCUUGUCCUGCACUCAAGGAGGAAUGCUUCAGAUUCCUCGAGUCCUGUAACAAUAGCAUGCUGGAUCUGAUCACACGGAGUUCUGACUUUGAGCAUCUAGCAAGAAGUUGCCCGUCUAUUAUGAAGGAGCUUAUUCCCAAACUUGCUCGCAAACCCCCGUGUGUAACAAACUAUAGCAACAUGUAA
rnacentral:rRNA from 1 species